UGCACAGUACAAUUAACCCCCCCUUUUUUUGUUCUAUGGAUUUCUUUUAAAAUACUAAACCCUAGCUAGUGCACUUGAAAUAAAAAAAAACAAAAAACAAAGAACAAUAAUUAAAUGUGUUAACUACUUGAGGAAAUGUUGUGACCUUUAAUGGACCCUGGACGUUGCUUUUCAGGAACUGUAUCCCUUGGUUUCUUGUUUUGGGGGGUACAGUAGUUUGCAAGGAAUCCUUUGGUUUAUAUACUUGACAGCCGAAUAAAAGGCAAAGGGCUUCUUGCUUUGUACUGUGCAGGAAAUUACCAUUUCUGUUGUCUGUGCAGGACGUUCUAAAGAUGCAGCCAGGGAGUCUCAGAGGGGAGAGAGAGAGAGACUCGCAGUUCUAAUCUUUUCUUGCUUUUGCCUCUGGUCAUAAGAUGGAUUGUUUUUCUGCUUUUGUUCCUUGGGGUGGCAUCUGUCUUCAGGAGAAAUCACUUCACAGUCAAACACAGAUUGCUGAACUGUGGCAUUUUUGCUGUUACUGUUAGGCUGAAUUCACUGGGAACCGUUUUAAUAUAGGUGCAUUUAAACACUUGCUCCUUAUGAAUGGGGAGAGAUGGAGAGCGAAAUCUCAUUCUUCAUUGAAUGCUCCAUCUCCUGCCCAUCACCUUUCAAGAACACAAUUCUGCCCUAGCACAUGGCUUUUCACUAACGCCCGAAUAUUUAUGCUAAUCUGAAAGAUCCCCAGCAUCGGGGACUAUACACUUACCCACUUUCUGCAGAGAGACACUUAGGAAAUUGAUGAUUUCUUGACACUUUCCAGUUUAUGAUUGUACCUUUCCAAGUUAGUACUGAUUUUGACUUAUUCCAAAUAAUUAUACUUUGGUGUAUACUUCUAGUGUUUCACUUAUUUAAGUAAUUUCACAUUUUAGGACUUUGUGGCUUUAAAUUUAAAGAGAUGCAAGUUUUUAACAUAUUAUGGAAACUGCCCUAAUAAUGCUGUUACUAUAACAAUAAUAAUAGUAAUAAGAAAAAUGAUAAAGUAAAUAAUUUCAGGAAUAGAAAAGAAUACUUAACCAGGAACGUGGAGACAGAACAUUUUAAUGUAGUAGAUCAUCUCUUUUCUUGAGAUGCUGUUUGAACAGUUACUGGCAAGAGUUUGAACAUUAAAUGUAUUUGUGACUAAAUACCUUCCCAAGAAUGCAGCCUAACUGCCACAACCUCACUGGGGUCUCAUCGUAUAGAACCAGACUUAAAUGAUGGCUGGAAGAGACAGGGCAUAAUAAGAUUGGCCAAAUUUAUAUUUAUUGAAAGAUAGAGCAUGAAAAGAUUUGGAGCUUUACAGUAGUUCAAGGAAGUAGGAUUUAUAAAAAACUGUGAUGAGUGACUCCCCCCCCCCCAUGACAUGGGUAGAUUUUGAUUUAAAAACAUCCAAGGGACCAGCAAGCUGUACCCUGGGGAGAGGAAUGUGCAAGGAAGGAAGGCAGCUGAUGAAAUAGAACUUUAGAAAGUUACUGUGGAAGGCUUGGAACUGGGAAUUGAAAAAAGAAAUUAAAAAACUGUCAAGAAAGAAAAUAUUUUUAUAGACGUUUGUCAAUUUUUAUUUCUGCAAAUAUUGAUAAUAACACAGGGAUGGAAAAAAUGGUCCUCUGGCUAAGAAUGAGUUUUACAUUUUUUUUUUUUUACAUUUUUAAAUGGAAAAAAAUAAAAACCAUAAUAUUUUAUGACCCAUGAGAAUUAUAUGAAAUGGACAUUUAUGGAUCCAUAAAUAAAGUUUCCCUGGGACACAACCACACCCAUACGUUUAGUAGCAUCUGUGUAGUAUGUGUGUCUGCACCACUUGGGCCACAAUGACACGGGUGAGUAAUUGCGAAGAGACUGGGAUAAAGACUAAAGUGUUUGCUUCCUGGCCCUUUCCAGAACAGGUUCACUAUAAUAAAGGAUUGCCUGCAGAAUGUUAGAGUGAACACUGUAGACUUUUUGCUAAGGUCAGCUCUGAGUAUUGCCUGAAAUAAUACCUUUUCUGGUAAAUUUGUAUAGGAGAUGUGGCAAUAUUGAAGAGGCAGAUUUGAUUUUAAGGCCUUGAUCAUCUUCAGUUCAAGAUAAUCCACAUGUCAAAGUGAUACAUUUUGGGGAGGCUCAUUCUGAACCCUUUCACUUGUUUUGAGUGAGAAAAAGGUGGUAAUUAGUUGGAAUUGUGAUUGGAAACAUAGGCUAAGAACUCUGACUUAAAAUGAUUUGUGUUUAAAUAUAUAGUACAAAUUUGUGAUGUAAGAAGUAAAACUAACUCUGUUGGUCUUGUGAAAAUGAAAGUGGACAUGAUAGGUAGCAAAGAUGUUUGACAUUUGAGCUUGAUUUUUGUUUGUUUGUUUUGUUUUUGAGAUUUUAUAGCUGGUCAGUUCAUUCGGAGAAUGUGGAAAAAAAACCCUGAACACUUCCCAUUAGUGAGCAUGUUGUUAGGUUCUCAACAAAACAAUUUCUGCAGUCAUUUAUUCUGUGCCAGUAUCAGCCAAAAUCACUUAGAGGUAUUGUUGGGGAGGAAGAAUUUCUUCUGCCCUUCAAGGUCCUUGUAGCUGGACUAAGAAUCAAGUUGACAUGAGACAGAUUAACAGGAGGAAUAAAAUUUAAUAGCGUAUGUAUGGGAAAUGCACAUAGAUGUGAAAUUCCAAAGACAAUGAGGCUUAUUUGAGCUAGGGAGAGGAGUAGGACCUGAGGGCACAAAAGGGAGAAAAUGCAUUAAUAGGAAGGCGAGGAGACGUUUUAGAACACAAAGGUGUUGCCCUAUUGCUCAGAUUGCAAAGAGGAAUCUUUGUCAGUAGCCUUCAUGCUGGUAAAACAGACAGUUGAGGGGCGGGUAUAGAGCUUUUCCUGAAUAUGCUGGGUUUGGAUUACUUUUAACUCAAAAUAAUGUUCAUGCCAAAGUACACCAGCUUGGGCAGCCUGCCUUUGGCCUCUACAGUAUGAAUAGUACUAUGAUAGUUACCUUUACAAGGAUAGUUGACAUUAGGUCUUUACAUGACCCUUUCUUUCUUUCUUUUUUUUUUUUUAAAGGAGUACCAAAGUGUGUUACAAAUCAAUUUUGCUUUUCUUUGCAAUUAUUUUAAUUUAGGCUUUUGUUAGCGGUUGACUUUCCUUCCCUUUUCAUUGAGAUGGUUUCCUUUGCAUGUUCUUUCCAGUCUUAACCUUAUUUUUCAGCCCCAGCUAAGCAUAAAAAGGACGAUCUUUCUUCUAGCCCGUUCCCUGAAAUUAAUUGUGCUAAAUUACCAGCUUCUUAGAUAUCAAGCAGUACUCAUGCUAAAGGCAUUUAUUAAGUGUCCAUAUGUGCUUGCUGGUAUGCUGUUAUAGUAAUAAAGUAGGAACUCUUGGGACUCACGUCUAUUAAGUGCUUUUAAAGUGCCAGGUAACACUAAUGCAAAUCAUAUUAUCAAAGGCGUUCAUAUAAAUAGUGUCCCUCUGCCCCCAUCCCACCAAGCUAAGUGCCUUAAAUGCCUUAAGAUUGCAUCCCCAUAGGAGGAGGGUGGAGUGUUUAGUUUUUGUUUGGGUCUGGUUUAGAUGAAGAAAUGUAAGUUAUACAGUUCUCCAGAGGUCCAUUUAUAGACCAGUCUUACUUAAAAUGUACAUAAAAUAUUUGGGAAUACUCUCCCAGUAGUGAAAUGCCUAAGACUGUGAUUGUCUGAAUAAGGAAUAGUGGCAAAAGAGCUAUGGUGCGCAAGUUUAAAAUAAUGUGCUUGGGGAAAAUAUUCUAGUUACACUUGUAGGAUUAUGGUUCUCAAGCUAUUGCUCGGGGAGAGAAUUGAAAAGUUGUUUAUUAUUACUGCAGAUAGCAGAUUGAUGUGCUGUGACCAAAAGACUAGUUCUGGAUUCCAAAAGAAAGGUUAUUGGAAACACAGAAAAUAUUUUUCUACUCUUACACACCAAAAAGAUCUCUGUAUGUUAUACAUAGAUUUGGAUACAUUGCUUCAGCAGAGAAAGAAGUUCCAGAAGAGGGACGAUUAAGGACCAGAAAGACAAAAUAAUUGCAACACUUCAGUCUGGAUUAUUAUAAAUAUUUUGUAUGUUUAGUUAUCAUUCAAGCAGUUAUUUACUGAGGAACAACUGUGUUCUAGGCCUUGUGCUGGGCUCACAGAAAUUUUCUUUGUCGCCUUUGUCAAACAGGAUACUACUGGUCUGUGCGAACUGUGUCUCGCUAAUUGUUUUUCUUCUGUUAUGGGAAAACAAAAGAACAAAGAAACACAGCACAAUAAAACCUUGAGAUUGUAUAUGAUCACAGGUUAUAAAAUCUUGAAUAGGUGGAAUAAAGAGAUGCAGAGUUUUGUUUUUUGUUUUGGUUUUUAUCAACAUUUGGGACAAAGGGUAGAGUAGGGUUUGAGAAAUGGGGUUCUAGAGCCAGACUAUCUGCAUUUGAGCCUUGGGCUCCCUACCUCUGUGUGUCUUGGUUGCCUCAUCUAUAAACUGGGCUGUUCUGAGAAUAAUGUAUGCGAAGUGUUGAGAACUGUUCCUGAACCGCAGUAAGGGCUCAGUAAAUGGUAGCUAUUAAUCUGAAGAACACUAGAACUUCUUAAGGAUUUGGAGAACUAGAUAUGGGACAAAUGAAAAUUAAUGAGCACCCCCACAAUUAAUCAGCGUUUCCUUAAACACAUUUACUGGCAAGCUGAAGAUCAGAUCCAGGGGAGAAUGCCUUCCAGUAGAAUGUAAAUAUUCAUGUUUUUAGAAUCCUGGGAUGUGAUUAUGGUGCUUGAGACUUAUUAAAAGGGGGUUUAAGGGUUGUUCGAAUAACAGAAGAUUGGCUUCCUGAAUGUGGAAGAGUAUUCCAGGAGCCAGGAUUAGUUUAAGAGGAGAGUUCAGAGCUGGGAAGGGAAGCACAGAAGAGAGGAUGUUCAGUCAGUUUGGAUGGGUCUAGAUUAGUGUUCCUCAAAUGUGCCCACGUUUGUCUCUCAGGAGACGCUGGACUGUCUGGAGACUUGUUUUAUUGCAUUGCCCCGAGCUGGGGGAGAAGGGCGCCACUGGCAUCUAGUGCUUAGAGGUAUGGGGUACAGCCAAACAUCCCACCAUGCACACGAGGUUCCCAUAGCAAAGAUUUCCCAUAAUGUCAGUAGUGUUGAGGUUAAGAAACAAUUUGGUCUAGCACAAAGUGUAAUAACGGCCACUGGUAAUAGAAAUCUGCAUUUAUAAUCUUAUCUUCUCCCCUUCCUCCGUCAACCAAAUAUGAACACAGGUAUAGCCCAGGUUAAUCUAAUUCACCAUGAUGCAUACAAACACCUCCUUAAACUGACCGGCUACUGUCAAUGUUAUCUUUUUUUUUUCAAUAGAUCGCUUUAUUCCCAAUGGAAGAAAAUAACAAUAAAUUUAGAUUAAGUAUAUCACGGAUCUAAUCCCAGGUUUUCCAUUAAUUUCCCAUGUGACAUCAAGAAAAUUAUCUUGCUUUUCUGAGCUCCCCUCCACCCCCCGGCCCGGUUUUUUUCACCUAUAAAAUGAGUGUAAUAAUAGUUACAUCCAGAGUUGAUACAGGGAUUCAGUGAGUCAGGGGUAGAAACUCAAAUGGAAACGGAUUGGCCACAGUGGUGGGGGAUCCCUGGAAAAGGCCUCACAAGAAGGGUUUUGUUAGCGUAGUUUAUAUGCCAAAGUACAAGGUUUAGUCUCCAGCCUGACAGGUUCAGAACCCCGUUUAUCAGUACAUGUCUUUAGAUAGGAUUCUUAUAAACCACACUCAAAAAUGCCAGUUCGUAGGUUCAAAUUGUUUUCAUUGCUUGGAUCUUCCUUAGUCUUCCUGACCUCUAAAUGUUCGAGUGCCCAGGGCUCACAAUCAAACCUUUUCUCUCUUCUUCCCACUCUCCUUCCCUGGGUACAUUCCUGGCCACAAAUACUAUCUGCAAUUUAACUCUCAAGUUUAUUAUCCUGCUCUGUCUUCUCCUUUGAUUUCAACUUUUUGGUUUGUUUUUUGUUUGUUUUUUAACAGCUAGUAACUAAUGUUACGAAAUUUCUAUAAUGCCAGAUGCCUGGCUAAGUGUUCUGCA